AUUGAACGCUGGCGGAAUGCUUUACACAUGCAAGUCGAACGGCAGCACGGACUUCGGUCUGGUGGCGAGUGGCGAACGGGUGAGUAAUGUAUCGGAACGCGCCCAGUCGUGGGGGAUAACGUAGUGAAACUUACGCUAAUACCCCAUACGAUCUAUGGAUGAAAGCGGGGGCUCGCAAGACCUCGCGCCAUUGGCGCGGCCGAUAUCAGAUUAGGUAGUCGGUGGGGUAAAGGCCCACCAAGCCAACGAUCUGUAGCUGGUCUGAGAGGACGACCAGCCACACUGGAACUGAGACACGGUCCAGACUCCUACGGGAGGCAGCAGUGGGGAAUUUUGGACAAUGGGCGAAAGCCUGAUCCAGCCAUUCCGCGUGCAGGAUGAAGGCCCUCGGGUUGUAAACUGCUUUUGUACAGAACGAAAAGGUUUCUACUAAUACUAGGAGCUCAUGACGGUACUGUAAGAAUAAGCACCGGCUAACUACGUGCCAGCCGCCGCCGUAA
rnacentral:rRNA from 1 species